UGUUUGCCUUAGUGGUAACAAGCUCAGCCUCUAGUGAUUUUGUGCUUCGUUUUUGAAUUCCAAGUAAUCUUGCAUUUUGUUCCCAUGCAGGUUUCUACCAGAGGCCUUGUUUACCUUGCUGAGUUUUGACUUCAUUCCAGAGUUUCUCUGAGCAUCUGAAUUAUCAACUACAGAGUUAAGGAUCUACCUUCUUGUGGAUUUCUCACAUUUCCGUCUGUACUUUUCGGGCGCGGACCAAGCUGGCGGCUUCCCGUUUCCUUCGACUCCAGGACCCAGGCAUCAGCACACCCUGCUCCUUCCUCCAUCUCAAACGUUGGCACCUGAGUUCCAUUGGGCUGACACCAAGCUCACAAUGGAGAAGACAACUGAACAAUCUUACUUCACAAGUUAAGACUCUGAAUCUCUCUACCCUGGUGGUUCUAGCUACAACAAUUUAUUGGUGUUUCCAGUCCUCAUCCCAGAUUACUUUGCUGACAACAAAACCUGUAAAACUUUUCCUUCUGAGUGUUCUCUGUAUGUGGGUCAAAUCUAUACUGAAAAUGACAUGUAUAUGAUGGAAAAAUCUGGAAAGCUUUAUUUAUUGUCAAGCUAUUCAACCUAAUAUUUACUUGAGGGAAACGCACAUUAGUAGCUGACACUAAACUGCACCCAACUUUCUUUUUCAACCUUUUUUUUAUGUGGAAGCGUUGGCAGAUAAAAGUAACCGCAGUUGAAGUAAUUAGUUAUGUCUCGUUUGGCUCCCCUGCCACAUCCAGUGCAUGCUAAAUGAAACACUGAGAUGCUCCUAUUGUGUUUUUUUUUUUUUUUUUUUUUUUGUGUGUGUAGGCUUCCUUAUUUUGUUUCCAUUUUCCCUGCCUUUCACAUACAUCCUGUGUUUUAUCACUCUUUGUGAGCGUGCACAUUAAGGUGUAAAUAGCAGCAGAUGACUUGGAUUACUUGUUUUUUUUUUUUUACUUCCUAAAAGGGUUACCUGAAGCUUGAAAGCUUUGCUACAAAGGCAAUAAAAAGUUCAUUUUCACCUUUACUUUGCUUGUUCGUGAAAAUUUGACAAUAAAUCUCUAAAUAUCUUGGAGCCUCUUUUAGAGACAUAAAGUCAACAACAUUACAACAAAUGGACCAUCUUAAGUCAUGUCAGUUUACUGUCAGUGACAAAAAGAUUUGGGAAAUUGAAUAUUAGCACUCAAUUGUAAGAAUUAAUCUAAGCCAAACAAAGACAUUGAAGACGUAUCCAUUUUCUUCUGCAAAAAUCAUCUGGUAUAAUAAAUUGUUUUCCUGCAGAGACGAUAAACCUAAGACUCGCUUGGAAAAGCAGAGCUUAAUUGCUCCCUCUGGUUAAAUUGCUCAAGUCUGGUGCAGCUGUAAACAAUUUGCAUAGUGAAGGCAAUUUACUUUUAUAUGCUCAUUUCUGAAAAGGUUAAAACUGGUUUUUCGUUCUAUAACUCUACUGUUCCUUUACUUCUAGUUUUUAUUAAACACUCAUGUAAGAGUCACAGUAUAUUGGCAGCCCUGAACUCUAAGGCAGGGGGUAAAACUCUCCUCACAACAGGAGGCACAGCUUUCCCAGGUUUGCAGAAGAAGCAAAUUGUAAGAAAAUAUAUCUAAAAUUGAAUCUCUACAGAAGU